rnacentral:rRNA from 1 species
CCAAUAGCGUAUAUUAAAGUUGUUGCAGUUAAAAAGCUCGUAGUUGAAUUUCGGGGUUAGUAGGUUGGUCAUGCCUCUGGUAUGUACUGGUCUCACUGAUUCCUCCUUCCUGAUGAACCGUAAUGCCAUUAAUUUGGUGUUGCGGGGAAUUUGGACUGUUACUUUGAAAAAAUUAGAGUGUUUAAAGCAAGCUAACGCUUGAAUACAUUAGCAUGGAAUAAUGAAAUAGGACGUUCGAUCCUAUUUUGUUGGUUUCUAGGAUUGACGUAAUGAUUAAUAGGGAUAGUUGGGGGCAUUAGUAUUCAAUUGUCAGAGGUGAAAUUCUUGGAUUUAUUGAAGACUAACUACUGCGAAAGCAUUUGCCAAGGAUGUUUUCAUUAAUCAAGAACGAAAGUUAGGGGAUCGAAGACGAUCAGAUACUGUCGUAGUCUUAACCAUAAACUAUGCCGACUAGGGAUCGGAUGAUGUUGAUUUUUUAAUGACUCAUUCGGCACCUUACG